rnacentral:rRNA from 1 species
UAAUUGAAGAGUUUGAUCAUGGCUCAGAUUGAACGCUGGCGGCAGGCCUAACACAUGCAAGUCGAGCGGCAGCACAGAGAAACUUGUUUCUCGGGUGGCGAGCGGCGGACGGGUGAGUAAUGCCUGGGAAAUUGCCCUGAUGUGGGGGAUAACCAUUGGAAACGAUGGCUAAUACCGCAUGAUAGCUUCGGCUCAAAGAGGGGGACCUUCGGGCCUCUCGCGUCAGGAUAUGCCCAGGUGGGAUUAGCUAGUUGGUGAGGUAAGGGCUCACCAAGGCGACGAUCCCUAGCUGGUCUGAGAGGAUGAUCAGCCACACUGGAACUGAGACACGGUCCAGACUCCUACGGGAGGCAGCAGUGGGGAAUAUUGCACAAUGGGCGCAAGCCUGAUGCAGCCAUGCCGCGUGUGUGAAGAAGGCCUUCGGGUUGUAAAGCACUUUCAGUCGUGAGGAAGGUG